UGUUCAGACAGCUGUUGGGAAUCAGAAGUUAAACCUGUCAGAUUGCCAGAUGUUGCGGCCAAACCCAACCCAUCCCAGAGAGACGACAGGAGGAAACCAGGAUCUGCUGGUUUUGUGUCUCUGAUGUCUGAAAACAUGACAGGAGGAAAUCUUCUGAACUGAGACAGUCGGUGUUUUCUAGAAGCGGCUCUGCGAGAUGUAAAUCCCAGUUCCAGUUCCCCAACAUCUCCCAGUGCUCCCAGUCUGCUUUCUGUUUUCACCGCCACUCCUUCCUGACGCCGACGGCGCCAGGAGGUCAAAGUUCAAGAACUGUGGGAGUGGAGUUUUAUGUUGGAAAUAAAUUAAAAUGUGACAGUUUAUCAGAGUCUCUUAACUGCAGAGACUCUGCAUAUAAUGAUAUAUCAUAUAUCAGUAAUAAUAUAUCAUUAUGACUGAUAUUAAUAUCUGCUGAUGUAGUUUUCCAUAAAGCUUUGAGUUGUUAACAUACAUUAAAUUAUUAGGUAAUUACAGGAUAAUUAGAUUAUAAAGUGAACUAAAAUGUGCAUUAGUAACAAUCAGUUAAUUUAAUGCAAACAAAAUUUUUGAAAGUUAAGAUAACUCAUCUGAUUUUUCAGUGUGAGAAACGACGUAUUUGUGGAUGUGCUGCUGAACGGCAGUGGUGGUAUGAUGCUGAGGGAACAGCUGCUCAGUAUCUGGACUAAAGUUCAGUCUUUGUGUCGCCUCUUCUGCCUCAGCGCCGUUCCUGAAUUAUUAAUGAACAUUAAAUAUUAAACA